AUGUCACUCCGACUUCCACUUCCGCAAGGGCUCUCCUUUUUCAAAAGUGUUGGGUGGUUUGAAGACAGUAAGGUUGAUUCAGCUGCCAAGCAGCACUUGUCUCCAAAAUUUAAGCUCCAGACAGACAAGGAAGUGUAUAGACCUGGUGAUUCAGUUACCGCGACUAUCCAAAUCUGUAGUCCCGCUAGUUUAAAGGAUGAAGCGGAGGCAGCGUCAGGUGGAGUCAUAUCUCUCUUGGUAGAUGGGCUAUCUUUCGAACUUAAAGGAAUUGAGAAGUUGGAUAGCCAAUGGUUCUCUGUUCCAAAGCCCAUACCAGGGUCUAAGCAAAGGAGAGGUGAAUAUUUGUUUUUGGAUUGUUCGGCACCCUCAUUAGUCUCCAAAGUAAUAAUUGCUUCGGGGCAAACAAAAACAUAUAUUGUACGUCUAGAGCUCCCAAGGAUUUUACCACCAUCAUAUAGGGGCAUCAGUAUUCGCUAUAUUUAUUAUGUUAGAAGUACAUUGUUUGGGAGAUUGAUUGACUUGGGUAAUGAGGAUGAAACUAAAGGCAAUGUAAAUAGUGCGGUUCAGCUGGAAACCCGAGUCCCAUUGCAGAUAUGUGUUUCCCAGAAAAGCAGCACCUUACUAAAUGAAGAAGGGAGUUUUCCACUCUCGGUUGAGCAACUGAGUAUAUUUUGGAGGGAAAAAGAUGAUGAGUCAGAAUGGAUCAAAGCAAAUGAUAAUACUGAUCUAGAAGAAGGAUAUGAUAGUUCGAAAGAUGAAGUUUCAUCGGUUUCCUCAUACAACCCUUCCAAAUCAAAUACGGACUUUCCCAUCAGGACCUCAACAUCGACGCUCUCCUUAUCAUCACGUCUCUCCAUGAAUGAAGCAUUGUAUUCUCAGGGAGAGCGCCCCACUUUCCCGUCAUAUAAUGCAAUUCCUCGAUUCUCAGUGUCCGAGAUUUCUGAUGACCAUGGUGGAGGACCGGUAUCACCUCUAAGGAAGCUAGAUCAUUUGCAUUUGGAUCGUCAUCCAUCAAAUGGCGAAAGAUUUUCUCUAGAUUCUGACCGCCCAAAAGAUGACGUUGGACUCCCUCUCACGCCAAAACAUGUUGAACCAUCUGGAUCAGAAGGCUUUAUGAGAGGAAGAUCAUAUAAUAUACGAAUAGAUGAUCAAGUCUUGCUUCGUUUCUCACCAAAGAAUUCUGACUCAACUUAUUACUUUGGUGAUAUGAUUGGUGGAGCACUCACUUUUUUUCAUGGAACUGGAACACGGAGAUGUCUAGAGGUAUCUAUAACCUUGGAAACAUCAGAAACAAUUAAUCCUCGUGUAAUACACCCUUCACGAAGGGUCUCACCGACAAUAACCAAGGUACACAGCGAACAUCAUGAAGUUGUUGCAGAUCUUCACCAGACAAGUUUUCUCUUUUCAAUUCCUAUCGAUGGACCAAUGUCAUUUGCUACCUCAAAGGUUUCUGUACAGUGGUCCCUUAGAUUUGAGUUCUUCACAACUCCGGCAGGAAUGGACUCAUCACGGUAUGAGCACCCACUUCUUGUUGAGAAAAGAGAGAAGGGGGACUGGAUCCUCCCAAUAACAGUUUAUGCACCGCCAAUGCGUAGACGAGCUACUCAUGGAAGAAACGAUAGAUCUGCAUUGGUUGGAAAUCUUCUCAGCUCUUGA
rnacentral:rRNA from 1 species